GUGAAUCAUCGAAUUUUUGAACGCAAAUUGCGCUUCCUGGUAUCCCGGGAAGUAUGCCUGUUUGAGGGUCAGUAUUAACAAAAAAUCGGUUUGGUUGCAAAUUGUGACGUUUCCGGAGUUUGGGCUAUCUUAACUUUUUUGGUUAAGGGGCUUAAAAUUGACCUUUUUUGCGCAUUUUUAGACGUACAUAAAUUUUUUUUUAUUCUUCUAUUUUUAUUCCCAAAUUUUAUUAAAAUCCAAUC
rnacentral:misc_RNA from 1 species